GUUGAACGCUGGCGGCAUGCCUAACACAUGCAAGUCGAACGGUAACAGGCCCUUCGGGGCGCUGACGAGUGGCGGACGGGUGAGUAAUGCUUAGGAAUCUGCCUAGUAGUGGGGGAUAACCCGGGGAAACUCGGGCUAAUACCGCAUACGUCCUACGGGAGGAAAGCGGGGGACCGUUCGGGCCUCGCGCUAUUAGAUGAGCCUAAGUCCGAUUAGCUAGUUGGGUAGGGGUAACGGCCUACCAAGGCGACGAUCGGAGCUGGUCUGAGAGGACGGACCAGCCACCACUGGGACGUGAGGACACGGCCCGACGACUCCUACGGGAGGGCAGCAGUGGGGAAGUAUUGGACAAUGGGCGGCAAGCCUCGAUCCAGCGAUGCCGCGUGUGU
rnacentral:rRNA from 1 species